GAGUUUGAUCCUGGCGUCAGGAGUGAACGCUAGCUACAGGCUUAACACAUGCAAGUCGAGGGGAAACGACAUCGAAAGCUUGCUUUGAUGGGCGUCGACCGGCGCACGGGUGAGUAACGCGUAUCCAACCUGCCCACCACUUGGGGAUAACCUUGCGAAAGUAAGACUAAUACCCAAUGAUAUCUCUAGAAGACAUCUGAAAGAGAUUAAAGAUUUAUCGGUGAUGGAUGGGGAUGCGUCUGAUUAGCUUGUUGGCGGGGUAACGGCCCACCAAGGCAACGAUCAGUAGGGGUUCUGAGAGGAAGGUCCCCCACAUUGGAACUGAGACACGGUCCAAACUCAUACGGGAGGCAGCA
rnacentral:rRNA from 1 species